rnacentral:rRNA from 1 species
GACGAACGCUGGCGGCGUGCUUAACACAUGCCAGUCGAACGGAAAGGCCCUGCUUUUGUGGGGUGCUCGAGUGGCGAACGGGUGAGUAACACGUGAGUAACCUGCCCUUGACUUUGGGAUAACUUCAGGAAACUGGGGCUAAUACCGGAUAGGAGCUCCUGCUGCAUGGUGGGGGUUGGAAAGUUUCGGCGGUUGGGGAUGGACUGGCGGCUUAUCAGCUUGUUGGUGGGGUAGUGGCUUACCAAGGCGUUGACGGGUAGCCGGCCUGAGAGGGUGACCGGCGACAUUGGGACUGAGGGACGGCCCAGACUGCUACGGGUGGCAACAGUGGGGAAGAUUGCACAAUGGGCGGAAGCUUGAUGCAGCAACGCCGCGGGCGGGAUGACGGCCUUCGGGUUGAAAACCGGUUUCGCUCAUGACGAAGCUUUGUGUGACGGUAGUGGGUAAAGAAGCACCGGCUAACUACGUG